UUGAGCUGUACCAUGACUACACCUACACACAACAGGGCUUGCAUGAGAUCCUGACACAAUGGAGGAUAGAGCUGGACGCCUACAGCAGAGAGCCUGGCCACUACAGGUUCAUGGUGACUGAGUGUUAUGAUUAUGAAGAAAUAG